rnacentral:lncRNA from 1 species
AAUAGAGGAUUUUCCUCUGGAAUAUUUAGAUUACUCUUACCAGUCAAGUAGAAAACAAUUCAGUUAAAAAGUGGGCAAAAGAUUUGAAUAUAUUCUUCAUCAAAGAAGAUAUAUGAGUAAUAAACAUAUGAAAAUAUUCUCAGCAUCAUUAGUCAUUUGGAAAAUGCAAAUUAACACCACAAUGAGAAACGACUGCACAUUCCCUUAAGUUACUAUAAUAAAAAAGAUGGAAUUAGGGCAAGAAUGUGGAGAAACUGUGAUGCUCAUACAUUGUUGAUGGGAUUAUAAAGUGGUGUGGCCACUUUGGAAAAUAGUUAUGCAGUUUUUUAGAAAGUUAAACAUACACUUACUAUACAACCCAGCAAUUUCACUCUUAGGAAUCUACCCAAGAGAAAUGAAACAUAUGUCCACAAAAGAGUUGCAUGCUAAUUUUAUGACAGCAUUAUUCAUAAUAGGCAAAACUGUAAACAAUCCAAAUGCUCAACUGUUAAUGAUUAAGCAACGAAAAAAAACUACUGAUUCAUCCUAUAACACGGAUGAGCCUCAAAAACAUUAUGUUAGUUGAGAGAAAUCAAACCCAAAAGUCUACAUAUAGUGUGAUUCCAUUUACAUGAAAUGUCUGGAAAAGGCAAAUCUACAGAAACAGAAAACAGACCCAUAGUUGCUUAGGGCCAGGAGUGGGAGCAGGUUAGCUCUAAAUUAGCAUGAGAAAACUUUUUGGAAUGAUGGAAAUGUGCUAAAACUGGAUAGUGAUGAUGGUUGCCUAUAAAUUUAUUAACACUAUAAAUUUAUUAAAAAUCACAAACUAUACAUAAAUAAUGCACGAAUUUUUUGCUAUGUAAAUUCCACAUGCUAUGCUCAAGAAAUUAUUCUUUUGAUGAAGGAUAAC